CACCUAAUCCUCCUUCCGAAUUUAGCGUAACCGUUUACUGAGUGUUACGCCAUUCAUUCAUCAUGUCCACUCUACUUCAAUCUUCUUUCAUUUCUUCUUCUUCUUCCUCCUUCUCUCCGAUAACUCCUCGUUUCUCCCUCCGCUACGCUGCCGCCGUCAGAUGUAAUAAUGUAGUACAAUCUGUCAAUCUAGAAAACGGAAAACCGUACCGUUCAACUGAAUAUUCAGUUACCGGUGGUACAAGUUCAAUUCCGAGUUAUCUAGUCGCGCCAAACACUCGUAUUCAUGAUCUUGUUAACAAGAAUCGUCUUCGUAUUUUCUCCGGCACCGCUAAUCCCGCACUCGCUCAGGAAAUUGCAUGCUAUAUGGGCCUGGAUUUGGGAAAAAUUAAGAUAAAACGUUUUGCCGAUGGGGAGAUAUAUGUCCAACUGCAAGAGAGUGUCAGGGGGUGUGAUGUGUUUCUUGUGCAGCCUACAUGUCCUCCCGCGAAUGAGAAUCUUAUGGAGCUUCUUGUAAUGAUUGAUGCCUGCAGGAGAGCUUCUGCCAAAAAUAUUACUGCAGUCAUUCCCUAUUUUGGAUAUGCUAGAGCUGAUAGAAAGACUCAAGGGCGUGAAUCAAUUGCUGCUAAGCUUGUAGCAAAUUUAAUUACUGAAGCUGGUGCAAAUCGUGUUCUUGCAUGUGACCUCCACUCUGGGCAGUCUAUGGGAUACUUCGAUAUUCCAGUUGAUCAUGUGUAUGGACAGCCUGUUAUACUCGAUUACCUUGCAAGCAAGACUAUUUGUUCAGAUGAUUUGGUAGUUGUCUCGCCAGAUGUUGGUGGUGUAGCUCGAGCACGUGCUUUUGCCAAAAAGUUAUCUGAUGCUCCUUUAGCGAUCGUUGAUAAAAGACGUCAUGGGCAUAAUGUUGCCGAGGUGAUGAAUUUGAUAGGUGAUGUAAAAGGAAAGGUAGCAGUGAUGGUAGAUGACAUGAUUGAUACUGCUGGGACCAUCGCCAAAGGAGCAGCUCUUUUGCAUCAAGAAGGGGCAAGAGAAGUCUAUGCAUGCACAACACAUGCUGUUUUCAGCCCGCCUGCUAUAGAGAGAUUGUCAAGUGGUUUAUUUCAAGAAGUUAUCAUAACUAAUACAAUUCCAGUGGCAGAGAAGAACUACUUCCCCCAAUUAACUGUCUUAUCAGUAGCAAACCUUCUGGGCGAGACCAUAUGGCGUGUUCAUGAUGACUGCUCAGUGAGUAGCAUAUUUCUGUAAAAUAAGUUUCGUUGGUCAUUUCUUCAUUCUACCAAUAGAAAAAAGGAGACUACUCUCCAUACUUGCAUGCUUACAUGCACAUAUGCAUCUAUUCAAAUACAUCAAUUUUGGAAAAAGUUGAGCAUGGUGGAAUUGAACCUUAUUCCAGUUUGGGCAUUGAUUGAACAAAUUGUUGUAUCCAUGUUAUGCUGUUCCAGCUUAUGACACUGCAGUAACAAGAAGUGGCAGAAUCGUAUAGUCGAUUUAUUAUAGAAAAAGCUUGUCAUUAGUAAUACCUUUUAGAGAGCUGUUUGGGGUAAUUUUUUGUACUUGAAAAAUACACUGUAGGUAUAUUUGGAAUUUACAGGGAAUAUUGUUGUAUUUUUACCCCGCUUGAUGAGUAUAAUUUUGUAAGAAAAAUAUUGAAUUGUGUGACUGUUUAGGUGUAUUGUUUUUAUUCUGUCUUACAUGUAUUGAUUUUGGAUAUAAGAAACAGUUUGAUUGAAUUAAACACGCUCAAGUAUAUUUAUAGUGAA